rnacentral:rRNA from 1 species
UACGUAGGGUGCGAGCGUUGUCCGGAAUUAUUGGGCGUAAAGGGCUCGUAGGCGGUUUGUCGCGUCGGGAGUGAAAUCCACUGGCUUAACUGGUGGCUUGCUUUCGAUACGGGCAGACUGGAGGCAUGCAGGGGAGAACGGAAUUCCUGGUGUAGCGGUGAAAUGCGCAGAUAUCAGGAGGAACACCGGUAGGCGAAGGCGGUCUCUGGG